UUUUUCUUAGCCGCAACCAUUACGACCACAUCGACUUGUUUUAUUAACCGACCACCUGGAAAAACUAAGCUUUAGUCAAAACAAAGUUUAAAUAUACAAAGCUGAUGAAAGGUAAUAGGGAAAUGAAGAGAUGUAUACCUUGGGCCAUUUUUUUGGAUCUUGGGGCGAGAGUCAUUUGAGGCCGAUCGCCAAAAAGCUUAUUUGAAGUUUCCUUAGCCGAAUCACCAAAGAAAUCCUUGAUGUAAGAAUCCCACCAAUCGGCGAAGGUGCUUGUACAAUGGGUUUCUGGAGUGUUCGGCCGAAGGCAGAAUUUUAUACAUCACUUUUGGAACUAUUUCUCUGCUUCUUCGCACUCUUUCUUCGAUGAGCCAGAUAGUCGUUCUCGGCUUAAGUGAGAAUGAAAAGUGACGAGUGGUAAAUGACAGCCCUGAAGGAAGCCUAA
rnacentral:lncRNA from 1 species